rnacentral:rRNA from 1 species
CACACGACCGUACCGCAAACCGACACUGGUGCGCGAGAUGAGUAUUCUCAGGCGCUUGAGAGAACUCGGGAGAAGGAACUCGGCAAAUUGACACCGUAACUUCGGAAGAAGGUGUGCCUUUAGUAGGUGAAGUCCCUCGCGGAUGGAGCCCAAUGAGGUUGCAAAGAAUCGGUGGCUGCGACUGUUUAAUAAAAACACAGCACUCUGCAAACACGAAAGUGGACGUAUAGGGUGUGACGCCUGCCCGGUGCUGGAAGAUUAAGUGAUGGGGUGCAAGCUCUUGAUCGAAGUCCCAGUAAACGGCGGCCGUAACAAUAACGGUCCUAAGGUAGCGAAAUUCCUUGUCGGGUAAGUUCCGACCUGCACGAAUGGCGUAACGAUGGCCACACUGUCUCCUCCCGAGACUCAGCGAAGUUGAAAUGUUUGUGAUGAUGCAAUCUCCCCGCGGAAAGACGGAAAGACCCCAUGAACCUUUACUGUAGCUUUGUAUUGGACUUUGAACGGAUCUGUGUAGGAUAGGUGGGAGGCUUUGAAGCCGGGUCGCUAGAUCUGGUGGAGCCAACGUUGAAAUACCACCCUGGUGCGUUUGAGGUUCUAACCUAGGCCCGUUAUCCGGGCCGGGGACAGUGCAUGGUAGGCAGUUUGACUGGGGCGGUCUCCUCCCAAAGCGUAACGGAGGAGUUCGAAGGUACGCUAGUUACGGUCGGACAUCGUGACGAUAGUGCAAUGGCAUAAGCGUGCUUAACUGCGAGACUGACAAGUCGAGCAGAUGCGAAAGCAGGACAUAGUGAUCCGGUGGUUCUGUAUGGAAGGGCCAUCGCUCAACGGAUAAAAGGUACUCUGGGGAUAACAGGCUGAUACCGCCCAAGAGUUCAUAUCGACGGCGGUGUUUGGCACCUCGAUGUCGGCUCAUCUCAUCCUGGGGCUGUAGCCGGUCCCAAGGGUAUGGCUGUUCGCCAUUUAAAGAGGUACGUGAGCUGGGUUUAAAACGUCGUGAGACAGUUUGGUCCCUAUCUUCCGUGGGCGCUGCAGAUUUGAGGAAGCCUGCUCCUAGUACGAGAGGACCGGAGUGGACGCACCUCUGGUGUACCUGUUGUCACGCCAGUGGCAUUGCAGGGUAGCUAAGUGCGGAAGAGAUAACCGCUGAAAGCAUCUAAGCGGGAAACUCGUUUCAAGAUGAGAUCUGCCGGGGCCUUGAGCCCCCUGAAGAGUCGUUCUAGACCAGGACGUUGAUAGGUCAGGUGUGGAAGCGCAGUAAUGCGUUAAGCUAACUGAUACUAAUUGCUCGUGCGGCUUGACC